rnacentral:rRNA from 1 species
GUCUACGGCCAUGCCACCCUGAACAAGCCCGAUCCUGUCUGAUCUCAGAAGCUAAGCAAGGUCAGGCCUGGCCAGUACUUGGAUGGGAGACCACCUAGGAAGACCAGGUGCUGUAGGUG